rnacentral:lncRNA from 1 species
AGGUGACCACGAAAUAUUUAUAACAUAUGACAUAUUAUCUUGAAGGACAACAUGAAGAAUAUCAGCUUACACUGGUUCUGCUUUAACAUGUAGUCCAUUCCAUAAAAAAGCUCACUCCAGUAAUACAGACCACAUCGUCAAUCAGAUGUUCUAUAAUAAUUAAAAUAAUUGCAUUGGUAAACAAAAAAACGUAACUUUUACAGUUUAACGGCAACUCAGUGUGAUGGCAUCACUGACAAUUAACUCAACAAUCGAAUAUCCUUGGAAAAAACAUCAAGAAAUAGACCAAUAAUGGUGAAACUCACUUAUGUACCAUCAUAUACACAAACACAUAAGAAUUUGGGAAACAGUUGGUUUCAGUCUCAUGGAAAGGUAUCUGAGGGUUCACAUAAUAUGAGAGAAUACUAUACUGCUCAUGCAUUACAUUCUGUCAAAGAUCGAUGACUCUGAUGGUACAACAUGGACCAGCUGCACUGCUAAAAAACGCAGAAUUAACGAGGCGAAAGAAUUUCAGGAAGAUCUCACAUUCAGAAGGUUGUAUCUUUCACUAUACUCAGCGAAAAAUUGAGAAUAAAUUAUCCAUGGAAAUCUCACACCAAAUACUUAAAAUACAUCCAUAGCCCCAUGGACAGAUUCAGCCUUGAAGUUACUUUAAACCGCCCGCAAAAUAGGAAGUCAUGACUGAAACUGCAGUCUGACGAAAACUAACAGUAAUUUCAGAUAGGCAAAUCUCCUAGAAUACCUGAAGAAAAAUUGGAAAUAAACAUUCGUUGGAAAGGUCUUGAAAAGAUAUACAACUUUUAUUUUAAUGGUUCGGUCAUAUUUGACACCUAAAACCCUCAAAACGCAAUCGGUAAGUUACUGCACGCACUGCAAACAGAGUUGUGCAAAACAGACUUGCGAAAACAAACAGCAGGGAAGGAAGGAUUACUUCACUUGAUACCUACAACAGAUCACGCCCCUGCCAUCUCUAUUUCGCUCUUUCCAUCUCUUCCCUGCAGCAAACCUUCUUUCAAGCUGCCUCAGACAUGGGUUUGGAUUGGUGUCCUCCUGAAUACUCUGCCCCUGAAGGCUUUCUUUUCCUUCUCAGAAUCUGAACUUAUCAAAAUCAAGCUAAUUAGUGGAAAAGGCUGCAUAUUGACCUCUCACUAACACAGCCACAUGUGCCAACAAAUAUCUUAACCACUCACCAGGAUCAUUCCUUGGUACAGAAAAACCAAAACAUAAUUAAGCAUAUUAUAUGAACCAGUCUUUUCAAAACCAGUAUUGGUAUUUAAAAUUAAUGAAAUUCAUAUGCAUGGACAAGUGUACGGUUUAGAAUACACAAAAAAAAAAGCAAAGUACUAUUUGGUUAUAGUCAGAGUUCCCCUACUUUGCAAUGUGG